AAAGAAGAAGAAAAUGGCGUGAUCCAGUUAUAUUCUUCAGAACAAAAUCCGAGAGACUCAAGCAGCCUACCUGAACUUGAUCAAAUUUUGGUUGAGCCAGGCCCAGGUAUGGAAACAAAAAGAACUACUGCCGCGGCUGGUCAGAUUCAGACCAAAGCAGUAGCAACAGCUUGGUGGCUGAUAAAUAGACUGGUAAAUUGCUUGGAGUACCCAAGAACUUGGUUGGAAGAUACACGUGGCAUGCUGAUGAUUGUGGCAACCAUGAUAUCAACCACAACUUUCGAAGCUGCAGUUAAUCCACCCGGUGGUGUUUGGCAAGACAAUAAAAUAAAUAGUAGCGCAGGAAAUGCUACUUAUUGCACCGAUGAUAAGAUAUGCUUGGCUGGAACUUCAGUGGCAGGCAGCGGCUUCCCAAAAGACUUCCUCGAGUUCGUAAUACACAAUACCAUCUCGUAUAUUUCUUCUCUCAGUGUCACCCUUUUGCUUGUUGGCGGAUUUCCCCUCCGGAAUCGUGUAAUUAUGUGGCUUUUAUCAAUGGCCAUGUGUCUCACUCUUACUUCUAUGGCACUCACCUAUAUACAUGCUCUUAUCAUAGUGUUCCCUAAUACUGAAAUUUACAAAUCAUAUGAAAAGAUAUCCCAGAUAUCCAUUGUGGUUUGGGUUACACUGCUUGGGAUCAUAGCUGCAAUCCACACCAUUCGUCUUAUCAUUUGGUUGGUGAGGAAGUUGUGGGGCAGGUUCAAGCAUAAGAUCCCAAAAAGCCUCAGGAACGUGAUUGAUAGUUUGGUGGAUAGUUCGAGAGCACGUCACCGUACCAAAAAAUUCUGAGGAGAAUACGCCUGUCUGUCGUUUCCUUGUGUAUUGGAGCAACUACACCAGAUUGCUAAAGUAAACCAUCUAUUUAAUGAUGAAGAAUGUGUUUAAGGAGAACCAGUAGGUCGUGUUUGGCUGGUGCCCUAGCCAAUGUUUGCCUUAAUUUAUUUCUGUUAGAACUUGGAUGCUAUGUAAUAUAUAAAGAUUCUAUGGAGCUGUAGUCAUGUUUAUUAACACAGAGAGCUUCCAUUUAGGGAUUCCUCAAAUUAGCUUAUUUGAGGGAUACUCUUGUAUGACUCACUUCGCAUUGUAUUUCACUAAUCCAAACCAUCUAUAUUGUAGAUGCUCAUUCAAAAAUCAUCUCUACAAAAAAUCACUUGAAUCCAAUAUUGUUUGACCACUCAAGUUGUGUUUGGCAAGUCAGAAUGAUCAGUUUGGAUGCUAUGUAAUAAAUAAAGAUUCUGUGGAGCUGUUGUUGUUUAUUAAUCUGAAAUCUAUUUUUAUUUCCUCCUUAUAUAAAGCUUGGUGAAAACUGUUUGAUAACUCUUCAUUAAUAAUUCUAGUGUUCGGCUAAUAGUAAAGAGAGAGGUUAAGCUGACGUGUGGUUAGUUAGUCACGUGUAUUAGUUAUGUUAGUUGUUGUAAUAAUCACGUGGGUUAUUCUCAUUGAAAUACAAGUUCUCUGUUGUUCUCUCAAUUUCGCUGUUUUAUAUUUCUCCAAUCUUCUUCUUCCUCAAUUCUUCUUCUUCUGUUAGCAUCUAGAACCUUGUAGACAUAAGAACUUUCCGACCCUAAUUAUGAAAAAUUAAAUUAUUUUAUUUUAGGGAGUUUCACUUAUAAACCCUUUAUUAGAGACUAAUAACUUAUAAAAAUAUGGCACUGGGUUCGUGGUCGAAGGUAGUUGGGUUUGGUUGGGUUGUACGUAACCACGUGAUCAUUUAUGUCUAGGUUGACACACCCUAGUGGUCUUAUUAGUGGCAUGGACAUGAUCUCAUGUGUGAGGAGACCUUUUACAAAUAUUUAUAAAAAAAGUUCGAACACACAAUACAUUCCAAAGUAACCAAAAAGACCAAAAGUUCAUACAUAAAUAUAAUACAUAUGUAAUAAAAUCUUUACUCUUUUUCUUUUCUUUUCUUUUUUUUUCUUUUUUUUUUUGGUGGUCAUAAAAAAUAUAUGUCAUUUAUUGGCUCAGUCCUUCCCUAUUUUCCAUUAAAGAUAUACCUUUUUUUAAGAUAGAAGCCAUUUAAGUUAAGCCAAGCCAUGUUGAAUGGCUCCAAACUUGGAAUCUGAUAUUUGGAGUUUCCAUUGAUUAUAAGAUACUGUUAAAUCUUUGUUAGCCCAUUGAAAAGACACCAUUACUUAUCCGUGCCAAAGUGAAAAAUAAUUGUUAAAAAAAAAUGGCACCAUUUUGAGGUGCCAAUUCAUCUUUAUAAUUAAUAAUACAUUUAAUACUAGAAGCAUAUGGUCCCACCAACACCCACAAUAUUCUUUCACCGCAUAUUCUUUGGCCGGCACAAUACAAUAAUUCAUAAUUUUAUAAAUCACCAUAUCUAUAAGUAUAACCAUAGUUACAUAAAUCAAAAUAAAAGGUUAAUUAUGAUUAUGUCUUGACACAUAUCAAGUAUUAACAAGAGUGAUGAGCAUACACCUUAGUUUAAAGUUGUGAGCAAAAAAAUUUCCUAAUUAAUAGAAGUUUGAACUAAUUUGGAUUGUAGCUCAUUAUUCCAUUGCUUAAAAUUAGGAACUUAAAGAGUAGUUUAAUGGCAUAAUUGGUAAAUAAAUCAAAUUACAUUACACAUCCUAUAUGGCAUCUAAUUUUAAAAUUGAGUUUUACUUAAAGGUUUUAUUAUUGGUGGGUUAUGGUCUAGAGUUUUUAAAUUGUAAGGGCCUAUAUUAAUGUGACUUUUCUUUUUGUCACAGCAACAAUGUGAUAGAUUUUGAUAGAUAUUACAACAUCUUUAUAGAAAAAGAUUAUUAUUAUAAUCAUGUUGUUCUGAUUUAUGCUUGAUUUAUUUAUUGACGCUAGAAGUCCUAAAGAUAAUAUUAAACAUGGAAGCAAAUAUAUUGAACUCAAAAGAUGAGACAGGGAGGACUCCACUGCAUUAUGCAGCAUCAAUUGGUUAUCUAGAAGGGGUUCGCUUCUCAGGCAGACGUCUCGUGGAUUCUCAUUGACAGGAUCAUUGUGGCAACUUUCCGAUCCAUUAUGCAUCAAGCAAAGGUCAUGUCAACAUUGUUAAAGAGCUACUUCAACAUUGUCCCGAUUCAAUGGAGCUGAGGAACUCAAGUGACCAAAAUAUACUCCAUGUUGCAGCAAGAUGUGGCGAGGACAAUCUUGUCAAAUAUUUUCUCAAGAAUGUUGAGUUUCAAAUGUUGACAAACCAAAAAGACAACAGAAGAAAUACUCCUUUGCACUUGGCAAAGAUGUACCAUCAUCCGAAAGUUGUGGACCUUUUCACUUUGGAUAGAAGGAGCAACUUAAAGGUCUUGAAUGAUAGGGGCAUGACAUCUCGUGACAUUUCAGAAAGCACUUCGGAAACUAGUGCAUCAUAUCAUGGGGUAAGUUUGUGUUAAAUCUACUUUUAUCAUAUUACUGAUGAUGAUGAUGAUUUUGGCUAUCAUUACCAAGGGAAUUCUUUGUUUUAUUUAGUGUGUUAGGUACAAGACAGCAUUUAGUAGUCUAGAAAUUGAACAAAGAACUAAAAGGAGAAACAAGUAAUUGAGAAAAUACUAAAAUCACUUGAGGCUGAUAUAAAUAAGCUGGAAUGGAUGAUCUAAAAUAGGGAUAUCAUCAUUUGGCUCGUAGUCCGCGGGUCAAAGUGGGUAACUCGAGGCUCAAUGGGCCAAAGUCCAACCUGAACCGAUGGUUAAUGAGGCCCGCUCGACUCAACCUUCUAAGGUUGGGUAGGGCUUGUGCUUAGGAUUUAUUAAAACCUUUGGCCCGCCCAUUGCCUUAUAUUCCCUUAUUUUCAUUCCCCAUUAAAAAUACUAGAAAUACUAGAAAUUCAAAUUCCCAACAAAUCAAAAUAUUAAAAUCCAGUUUUAGUAUAAGAUACAGUUUAUAUCAAUAUUGAUACCUCAACAAGUCAAUGUAUAUACUUUAUACUAAAAUCUCAUAAAAUCGUGUUUGAUUAUUUAAAAUGUAAGGAAUAUAAACCGCCAAAUGUAUUAUUGAAACUAUACAACCCACUGAUAAACUCUAAUUUCUUCACUCUCACAACAAUAUAUAUAUAUAUAUAUAUGUAACUAUAGAAUAUACUCAUCACACUACCUAGGUACCGGGGAAACAAUCCAACCGGAGGAUCGUUUAACUAGCCCGCAGGAUUUUCAAGUGUUAUCCUGCGUCUAGGGAUGAGCAGUCCAACCGGGGGACGAAACUCCAUAGCUCACACACCAGAACAUCCAACGCCAUAUGUAGCUCCAAUACUAAGUCCUACGCGCGCAGACUGGAUCAUCACACAUUGGAACAUCCAACGCCAUGUGUGAUGAUCCCAAACAAUAUACAGAGUCUUCCCAUAUGCCGGAACAUCCAACGCCGCGUAUGGAAAGUGUCUUCCCAUACGCCGGAACAUCCAACGCCGCAUGUGAGACUGAUAACCUAUUCUUCCCACACGCCGGAACAUCCAACGCCACGUGUGGGAAGUCUAAUCACUAGGGAAGAUACUUACAUAGUGUAAUCAUACAACUUCUCUCAACAACCCCUCAUAUUUAAGUUCCUCCACAACUCACCUCAACAACCCAAGUAUCCCACCUAUAGACAAUAUAUAUAUAUAUAUAUAACUCCCCCAAAAAUCCAUAAAAAAUAUACUCUCGAUACUCAAAUAUGCCAAACCCACAAUAUAUUGCCAAAGCGCUAUACAAACAUCAAAUUUAACCCAUGAAUAUAAUAUAUUUAAUAAAUUAUUAAAAACAUUAUGCAUAGAUCUUUCAUCAAUAAAACCAUGCAUAUGAUUGAAAACAAAGUCCACUUACAAGUAUUCCCACGCUGCCUGACCACGAGAGGGUCCUGCCUGCUGAGUACGUGCAGUCGGAGCACCUAUUUUGAGAUACGAACCCUUAAUUAAUAUAAAAUUACUUUGAAGCGGAAUUCACAAAUUAAAUACUUAAAUCCCCAAAUUUCAAGUACAUGUAUGUUGAAGGAGGUAUCCUAAGGUCCGAUUAUAGGUUUAGGAAUCGCUCACAAUUGUACGGUUAUCGCUAACCCAUAAACUUUGAAUUAUUGAAUCGGAACAUCCGGGGCUCCGAUUCAUGAUCCGUGAAGUCCUACACGGUCCUAGGAAUACCUAGAACAAUAUAUUUUAAUUGGGAAAAGAUCCAACGGUCAGAACCUAUCGAACCCGGAUAACGCACAAUAUGCGAAAAUCCAUUCGGUAGUCAAAGGACGUCCGAAUUGAGAUCCGCGAAAUCUUACUCACUCGUGAAAACCUAAGGAUCUCAUCGAGACAAAGUGCAACUUCACCACCCUCGUCCAUGCGCCGCCACAUGCGCCGGCAGCGUGGGUGUGUAGAGUAAAAUCUGGCGACGGAAAGACUCCAUACUCGAGCUCACCCUUCCUAUCCUAGCUUCUACUCGAGGUCAGGAUCACAUCAUUCAACUACGGGGAGGUCCAAUUCGGAAGGCAAUUGGCCGGAAUUUCACUUUGAAAUUCGGCCAAAACCUAGGUUUACAAAAUUGUUUUCUACACAUUAAAUCGAUCCAAACCUAUCUCAAAAACAGCUAGAGCUCAGAAAAUGGAUGAGAAACCUCACCUUAUUCACCGGGUUUGGGCGGCAGAGUCGAUGGCGCGACGGGCAGUGAUUCACCGGUUCAAACUAGUCGAGAUAGUGGCCGAGAUUGGUGGUUUCCGACGAAGAAAGCUAGCGGGUCUUGACCGGGACAUCGAGGGGAAUUGAUCGGGACCGGUGGAGUCAAUUGGGGUGGCCGGAAACGGUGGCGGGGUGGUGGUUUCUGGUUUGGUGAACAAUAACGGGGGAGGCGUAGGUUGCACGUAGAAAGAGAGAAUCGGGAGAGAGAGAGAGAGAGAGAGAGAGAGAGAGAGAGAGAGAGAGAGAGAGAGAAGUAAAAGUGAAAAAAAAUCAUAUUUUUACUCUAACUCUUUUCAAAAUAAUUACAAGUUUGCCACUGAAUUACUUUUGAUCGCCAAAUCUUCGUUCCAACUCCGAUUCAAGCCUACCGCAUGUCUACGAAUUCGUCUCAGUACAACCUACCCAAAAUAUUUCCGGAUAAGAGAAUGACCAAUUUACCCCUAUCCUAAAGGUAAAUUCGUAAUUUCACUUUAAAUAAAUUAAAAUAGGAAUUAAAUUUGCAGUCGGGGUGUUACAAUCUAUCCCCUUACAAAAAUUUCGUCCUUGAAAUUCACGUACCUGUCAAUGGAAGUGAUAAGGGUACUUGGCCCUCAUUUGCUCCUCAGGCUCCCAUGUAGCUUCUUCCACGGUUUGGCUUCUCCACAUAAACUUCACUACCGGAAUAGAUCUAGAGGCUAUUCCUCAUAUGACAAAUCUUCUUCUAACUCUACAGGUUGAUACUCUAGAAUAUGAGAAGGGUCUGGCAUGUAUUUCCGAAGCAUAGAUACAUGAAACACAUCAUGGACCUGCGAUAGUUCUGCAGGUAAUGCAAGUCUAUAGGCAAAAUGUCCGAUGCGCUCAGUGAUCUCAUAGGGUCCAAUAUAACGAGGGCUUAACUUCCCACGUUUCCCGAAUCUCAUUACACCCUUCCAAGGAGAUAACUUCAGAAACACCCAAUCCCCAACUGCAAACUCAAGAUCCUUUGACCUAUUAUCCGCAUAACUAUUCUGUCGGUCUUGUGCGGUUUUCAGCUUCUCUUUAAUCAUCUUCACCUUCUCGGUUGUUGCUCGGAUACUAUCCACUCUUUCCAAUUUCUUAUCACCCACCUCAUUCCAACAAAUAGGAGUCCUACACUGCCUCCCAUACAAUGCCUUAUAAGGAGCCAUCUCAAUACUCGCAUGAUAACUGUUAUUACAUGCAAAUUCCACCAAGGCAAGGUGAGUAUCCCAUGCAUCUUUCAUCUGCAACACACAUGACCUCAACAUAUCCUCCAAAGUCUGGAUGGUCCUUUCUGAUUGUCCAUCAGUCUGUGGGUGAAAAGUUGUGCUGAAUUGCAACCUAGUACCCAUAGCUUCCUGCAAACACUUCCAGAAUCGAGAAGUGAAUCGAGCAUCCCUGUCCAAUACAAUGGACACAGGUACUCCAUGUAAUCUCACAAUCUCAUCCACAAAGAGUUUUGCCAACUUCGUCAAAGAAUAAGUCUCCUUGAUGGGUAGGAAAUGGGUUGACUUGGUGAGUUUAUCCACUAUCACCCAAAUUCUAUCAUGUCCCUUAAAAGUACGGGGAAGCUUGAAAACAAAAUCCAUGGUAAUGCGUUCCCACUUCCAUUCAGGAAUCAGAAGUGGUUACAUAAGUCCUGAAGGUUUCUGUCGCUCUGCCUUCACUUGUUGACAAAUCAAGCAUCUGCCCACAUACUUGGCAAUGUCUCCCUUCAUAUGCAGCCAUGAGUAAUAUUCUCGUAGGGUCCGAUACAUCUUGGUACUUCCCGGAUGCAUAGUGUAAGUGGAACAGUGAGCUUCCUCUAUGAUUUCUCUUUUCAGAUCAUUAUUCUUAGAUACACAGAGACGAGUUCCUGUUACCAACGCUCCGUCUCCCCUUAUUGCAUAAUCCUUCCGGGUACCAUUUUCCACUUCUCCCCUUAUUCUACAAAGUGUUAGAUCCCCCAACUGGGCUACAAUUACCCAUUCCACCAGAAUGGGUCUCACAUGUAAGCUAGCAAAAAUUCCACCCUGUUGAGUUAUUCCCAACUGUACUCCAUCCUUCCGUAGUUCCAUUAACAACGGAAGAUAUGCCGUUCUGAGAUGAGCUAAACUUCCAGUAGUCUUUCUACUCAGUGCAUCUGCAACCACAUUAGCUCAACCUGGAUGAAACUCAAUCGUGCAAUCAAUUCACACCAACGCCGUUGUCUCAUAUUAAGCUCCCUUUGAGUGAAAAAGUACUUGAGGCUUUUGUGAUCAGUGAAAAUCUAACACGUCUCACCAUACAAGUAAUGCCGCCAAAUCUUGAGAGCGAACACUACUGCAACAAAUUUCAAAUCAUGGACAGGAUAAUUCUGCUCAUGCUUCUUGAGUUGCCUUGAGGCAUAAGCAAUCACCCGAUCAUAUUGCAUCAGAACACAUUCCAAGCCUUGUAAAGAUGCAUUACUGUAAAUCACAAAAUUUCCUGAAUUAUCCGGAAGAGCCAAGACAGGUAUGGUGGUUAAUCGCUUCUUUAAUUCUUGAAAACUCUGUUCACACUCUUCCGUCCAAUCAAAUGUAACAUCUUUCCUUGUCAACCGCGUGAGAGGUGCUGCUAUCGAAGAGAACCAUUCCACAACUCGCCGAUAGUAGCCUGCCAAUCCCAGAAAACUCUGUAUUUCUGUCACACUUGUGGGUUGUACCCAAUUCACAAUAGCUUCAACUUUCUGUGGAUCCACAUAAAUCCCUUCAUCUAAAAUUACAUAUCUGAGGAAUACCACUCUGUCCAGCCAGAACUGACACUUACUAAAUUUGGCAUAAAGCUGCUUUCUCUUCAAAGUCCUCAAUACCAACCUUAGAUGCUUCUUAUGCCCUUCCAAAGUCUAGGAGUAAACCAAGAUAUCGUCUAUGAACACAAUCACAAAGUGAUCCAAGUAUGGUCGGAACACUCUGUUCAUGAGAUCCAUAAACGCUGCUGGAGCACUCGUCAGUCCAAAAGGCAUCACCAGAAAUUCAUAAUGUCCAUACCGCGUUCUAAAUGCGGUCUUAGGAAUAUCCUCUUCCCUGAUCCGCACCUGAUGGUAUCCUGAUCUCAUAUCAAUCUUAGAAAAAUGCUUAGCACCCUUCAACUGAUCAAACAAAUCAUGAAUCUGAGGCAAAGGAUACCGGUUACGUAUUGUCACCUUAUUCAACUGCCAGUAAUCAAUACAUAACCUCAUGGUCCUAUCUUUCUUUCUCACGAAUAACACCGGUGCACCCCACAGAGAAACACUGGGUAAGAUGAACCCAAGAUCCACUAACUCCUGCAACUGAGUCUUCAACUCUCAGAGCUUAGCUGGUGCCAUCCUAUAGGGAGUUUGAUAGAUAGGGUUGGUGCCUGGAAGAAGCUCGAUAAUGAACUCGAUUUCCCUUUCAGGGGGUAAAUCAGGGAGAUCAUCUGGAAAAAUAUCAGGGAAAUCACAAACAAUAGGAAUAUCUUCCAGAUUCAGGGUGAUCUCUCGAGUAUCGAUGAUAUGAGCCAAAUAUCCUUGACAACCCUUCUUGAGUAACCUCUUAGCUAUGAUAGCAGAGAUAAGACAAGUAGGGAGAACUCUACGCUCCCCACGAAAGGUAACUUUAGGUUGCCCUGGACUCCAAAGUGUUACUUCCUUCCGGAAACAGUCCACUGAUGCAUGAUGCUUCUCUAGCCAAUCCAUCCCUAAUAUAAUAUCCAAAUCCACCAAAUCUAAAGGAAUUAAGUUGGCUUCCAACCAUGCAUCGCCUACUUGGACAAAACAAUUUCUGAACACUUGAUCUGCGUACAAGACUUUUCCCGUAGGUAGGGAAAUACUAAUACUUCUUGUCAUAGAUGUAGGUCUAACACUGACAUACGGUACGAAAUUGUGUGCUGCGAAGGAGUGUGUGGCCCCCGGGUCAAUUAGAACAAGUGCAAGAUAACCAAAGAUUGGAAUCAUACCAGUAAUCAUGUCCGGGGUGGCAUGUGCUUCCUGCUGAGUCAUAGAGAACACUCAGGCUUGAGUAGUGGAAUGCCAGGCUAACCCCUUGAUUACCUACCACUCCUGCCUCUAGAAGAUGACGGUGCCCUACUACUGGAUGACCCUGCUGCAGAGGAAGAAGCACCACCUUAACUCUGAUUUUGACCCAUACUACCCUGCCCCUGCUGGGCCCCAGUCCCCUGGACUGCUGCAUCACUCUGGAGUAUAAUUGGGCAACUUCUCUUAGUAUGCCCCACUUGCCCUCAAAAGUAGCAUGUCAAGCUACUACUCUGACUCGGUCCACCUCCCUGAGUAUAGCUAGGACAAUCUUUCACCAUGUGCCUAACCUUUCCGCAGUUAAAGCAUGUCAACCCAGUCUGCCUAGAAGGAGUCCUAGCUAUGCUAGCUGUAGACUGCGGCCCUGAAUACUGAGUCCAAGCUGGACGAAAACCGGAUCUCCCACUACUAGAACUAGAUCCCUGUCCUCCUGACCACCGCCGCUAGCAAAACUGGAGCUAGAUCCUCCUUUCUUUGAUGCACCCUGACUGGGCCCACCAAUUCCUGGUGUAUCUCUACGGCGCCUACCAGCACUCCCACUGAGUUUUCUCGACACCCUUUCAGCCGCCUGAGCCAAAGCCCUCAUAUUUGGAUAAGUGUUGGCCGUAACCACUGCCUGAAUCUCUAACCAUAAUCCUUCCUCAAAUCGUCUACAUCUGUCCUCCUGAGUGGCAACCAGCUCUGGAGCAAAUCUAGACAGCUCAUUAAACUGGUGUUCGUGCUCCACCACUGACAUAGACCUCUGUGCGGGUAAACUAGCUAAGUACAUGCCUUAUAUCCAAAGCAUUAUCUCCGGCAGGUGGAGAUGGUGGAGGUGAAGGCACUGGUGGUGAAAGAGGGGGUGAUGGAGAUGGAGAUGGCAGAUUCGGCCCCCAUCUCUGACCGCGACCUCUUGCUCUAGCUCUGCGAGCUAACAUGAUUCUACAUAAAGAAAUCAUAAAAUCAUUAGAUCAACAAUGCAACAAAAGUGCAAAAGUCAAAGGAAAAUGAACCUAAUGCUCUGAUACCAAGCUGACAGGACCCGCCCCGGAAUUCCCCGGAAACCGAAGCGGACCCCGUCUUUGUUCCGACAUCAUCCCAAUACCGGACCCACUAACUAAAAACCGAGACUCUUUACCAAAAUUUUGGCAGAGUCUCCCCUGUAAAUUAAGCAAACUGAACAAAAUUUUACUUGUAACUUACACAAGAUAAUCCCAACCAGCAACAUGCUUUCAUAAUACAACAAAACAUACUAAAUGGCCUCCGGCCUCGCAAGUAAAAUCUACCAUGGGCGAUAAUAGAGCAUCUAUUGAAUUUAGUUUACAACAACAGUUGAGUAGAAGAAAGUACUCAAAUCCUAACUAGGGAAGUUCACAGUUCGAGCCUCGUACACCACUUGCACACUUUUUGAGACAACUACUGGCUGGGGGAGCAAAACAGAUAACAUGCGAGUGGACAAAAACAAAUUUGCAUUUCAAACAACAUAGUAACCCCACCGUAUAAAAGUAAUGCUCAAGACAUGCAGAUUCAUUCAAAAUGCUGAAAAAUAUAUUUCAUUAAAAACUCUUUAAAAACACAAAUCACUUCAUCCAUAAACCACAUUCUCACAAUCUUGUUGCUCCUGCCAACCCACUGAUAAACUAUAAUUUCUUCACUCUCACAACUAUAUAUCUAUAUAUAUAACUAUACAAUAUACUCAUCACACUACCUAGGUACCGGGGAAACAAUCCAACCGGGGGAUCGUUUAACUACCCCGUAGGAUUUUCAGGUGCUAUCCUGCGUCUAGGGAUGAGCAGUCCAACCGGGGGACGAAACUCCACAGCUCACACACCGGAACAUCCAACGCCAUGUGUAGCUCCAAUACUAAGUCCUACGCGCGUAGACUAGACCAUCACAUACCGGAACAUCCAACGCCAUGUGUGAUGAUCCCAAACAAUAUACAGAGUCUUCUCAUACGUCAGAACAUCCAACGCCGCGUAUGAAAAGUGUCUCACACGCCAGAAUAUCCAAGGCCGCGUGUGAGACUGAUAACCUAUUCUUCCCACAUGCCAGAACAUCCAACGCCACGUGUGAGAAGUCUAAUCACUGGGGAAGGUACUUACAUAGUGUAAUCAUACAACUUCUCUCAAUAACCCCUCAUACUCAAGUUCCUCCACAACUCGCCUCAACAACCCAAGUAUCCCACCUAUAGACAAUAUAUAUAUAUAUAUAUGUAUAUAUAACUCCCCCAAAAAUUCAUAUAAAAUAUACUCUCGAUACCCAAAUAUGCCAAACCCACAAUAUAUUGCCAAAGCGCUAUACAAACAUCAAAUUCAACCAAUGAAUAUAAUAUAUUUAAUAAAUUAUUAAAAACAUUAUGCAUAGAUCUUUCAUCAAUAAAACCAUGCAUAUGAUUGAAAACAAAGUUCACUCACAAGUAUUCCCACGCUGCCUGACCACGAGAGGGUCCUGCCUGCUGAGUACGUGCAGUCGGAGCACCUAUUUCGAGAUACGAACCCUUAAUUAAUAUAAAAUUACAUCAAAACGGAAUUCACAAAUUAAAUACUUAAAUUCCCAAAUUCCCAGUACGUGUACGUUGAAGGAGGUAUCCUAAGGUCCGAUUAUAGGCUUAGGAAUCGCUAACGAUUGUACGGUUAUCGCUAACCCACAAACUUUGAAUUAUUGAAUCGGAACAUCCGGGGCUCCGAUUCAUGAUCGUGAAGUCCUACACGGUCCUAGGAAUACCUAGAACAACAUAUUUUAAUUGGGAAAAGAUCCAACGGUCAGAACCUAUCGAACCCGGAUAACGCACAAUAUACGAAAAUCCGUUCAAUAGUCAAACGAAGUCCGAAUUCAGAUCCACGAAAUCCUACACACUCGUGACAACCUAAGGAUCUCAUCGAGACAAAGUGCAACUUCACCACCCUCGCCCACGUGCCGCCACAAGCGCCGGCAGCUCGUGGGUGUGUAGAGUGAAUUCCGGGGACGGAAAAACUCCACACUCGAGCUCACCCUUCCUACCCUAGCUUCUACUUGAGGUCAGGAUCACAUCAUUCAAUUACAGGGAGGUCCAAUUUGGACGGCAACUGGCCGGAAUUUCACUUUGAAAUCCGGCCAAAACCUAGGUUUACAAAAUUAUUUUCUACACAUCAAAUCAAUCCAAACUUAUCCCAAAAGCAGCUAGAGCUCAGAAAAUGGAUGAGAAACCUCACCUUAUUCACCGGGUUUGGGCGGCGAAGUCGACGGCACGAAGGCAGCGAUUCACCGGUUCAAACUAGUCGAGAUCGUGGCCAGAAUUCGUGGUUUCCGGCGGGGAAAACUGGCUGACUAGGACGUCGAGGGGAAUUGAUCGGGACCGGUGGCGUCGAUCGGGGUGGCCGAAAACGGUGGAGGGGUGGUGGUUUCUGGUUCGGUGAACAGUAACGAGGGAGAGAGAGAGAGAGAGAGAGAGAGAGUGAGAGAGAGAGUGAGUGAGUGAGUGAGUGAGUGAGGUAAAAGUGAAAAAAAUCAGAUUUUUACUCUAACUCUUUUCGAAAUAAUUACAAGUUUGCCACUGAAUUACUUUUGGUUGCCAAAUCUUCGUUCCAACUCCGAUUCAAGCCUACCGCAUGUCUACGAAUUCGUCUCAAUACAACCUACCCAAAAAUACCAGUUGUGAUUCCAAAAUCUUUCCGAAUAAGAAAAUGAUCAAUUUACCCCUACCCCAAGGGUAAAUUCGUAAGUUCACUUUAAAUAAAUUAAAAUAGGAAUUAAAUUUGGAGUCCGGGGUGUUACAAAUUAUUUAAGUUUUUUUUAUAAUCAUUAUACACUAAUUUUUCUUAGAAUUAAUGCAUUUGAAAACUACAAUUUUAAUUUUAUUCACCAUUAUUAUUGUUUUUUGAGUGGGGAUUAAUUUUUGAUCCUACACACGAUCAUUGGCGGAUCCACAAAAGCACAAAGAGACUUGCCGGAAACUUCCUUGGAGAUGCUGGAAUUUACCCCUUUGCUAGUGCCGACAAAUUGUUCAACUAAAUGCCUCGAAGAGGUUGUUUUGUUUACUGUUGUGUGAGACCCUGAAUAUUUACCUUGAUUGUUAGACUCGAUCUCAUGAGCAUAUAGAAGAAAAUGGUCCAUCAAUCAGAGCUCCAAAACAAAAGUUAUAAAUUUUAGAAGUUUAUUAAGAAUUGAUGUUCGAGUUUGACGAGGAAGAAAGACUCCGUGUCAAUUUUGGUACCUUUUUUAAAUAGUCCAAUAGCAAGCUGCCAAAUGUCAAUUUUUAGUGUUUCAAAUAUUGCACCUCCCCUGAAAAGUUCAUGGAUACACCCAUGCACGUGAUUCUUAUGCCUUGGUUCCAAGCAACAAAGUUUUCAAUAUAUGAAUGGUACCACUUGUGCAGAUGAUACCUGCUGUAAAAGAAGAAGAAAAUGGCGUGAUCCAGUUAUAUUCCUCAGAAAAAAAUCCAAGAGACCCGAGCAGCCUAGCUGAACUUGAUCAAAUUUUGGUUGAGCCAGGCCCAGGUACGGAAACAAAAAGAACUACUGCCGCUGCUGGUCAGAUUCAGAACAAAGCAGUAGCGAUAGCUUGGUGUCUGAUAAAUAGACUGGUAAAUUGCUUGGAAU
rnacentral:lncRNA from 1 species